CGGACGGGUGAGUAAUGUCUGGGAAACUGCCUGAUGGAGGGGGAUAACUACUGGAAACGGUAGCUAAUACCGCAUAACGUCGCAAGACCAAAGAGGGGGACCUUCGGGCCUCUUGCCAUCGGAUGUGCCCAGAUGGGAUUAGCUAGUAGGUGGGGUAACGGCUCACCUAGGCGACGAUCCCUAGCUGGUCUGAGAGGUUGACCAGCCACACUGGAACUGAGACACGGUCCAG
rnacentral:rRNA from 1 species